rnacentral:lncRNA from 1 species
UGAUCUCAAAAUCGAGCAUUUCACCCGAAGAGAAAAAGAUAUUUUUAUCAAAUUUAAUUUUGCUAUUAGCUAAAGAUCUUGGGAAUGAUGUCAAAUAAUGUACCCACAGGUAGUUACAGUCUACAGCAUGUGUAGUCAUAACUAUCGCAUUCGCACUCUAUGAGUUAAUUGGCUUUGUCUAUGACUUGUAUAGAUAAAGCUAUUUGUAGAAUCUUUACACAUAAUCAAUUUACUUUUACUUAC